UGUAACGAUGUCGAUUUGGAGGUUGUUCCCUGAGGAGUGGCUUCCGGAGCUAACGCGUUAAAUCGACCGCUGGGGAGUACGGCCGCAAGGUUAAAACUCAAAUGAAUUGACGGGGCCCGCACAGCGGUGGAGCAUGUGGUUUAAUUCGAUGCAACGCGAAGAACCUUACCUACUCUUGACAUCCAGAGAAUUUAGCAGAGAUGCUUUAGUGCCUUCGGGAACUCUGAGACAGGUGCUGCAUGGCUGUCGUCAGCUCGUGUUGUGAAAUGUUGGGUUAAGUCCCGCAACGAGCGCAACCCUUAUCCUUUGUUGCCAGCACGUUAUGGUGGGAACUCAAAGGAGACUGCCGGUGAUAAACCGGAGGAAGGUGGGGAUGACGUCAAGUCAUCAUGGCCCUUACGAGUAGGGCUACACACGUGCUACAAUGGCGUAUACAAAGAGAAGCGACCUCGCGAGAGCAAGCGGAACUCAUAAAGUACGUCGUAGUCCGGAUUGGAGUCUGCAACUCGACUCCAUGAAGUCGGAAUCGCUAGUAAUCGUAGAUCAGAAUGCUACGGUGAAUACGUUCCCGGGCCUUGUACACACCGCCCGUCACACCAUGGGAGUGGGUUGCAAAAGAAGUAGGUAGCUUAACCUUCGGGAGGGCGCUUACCACUUUGUGAUUCAUGACUGGGGUGAAGUCGUAACAAGGUAACCA
rnacentral:rRNA from 1 species